UCUUAACCACUGAGCCAUCUCACCAGCCCAAUUUUAUUAUUUUUUUUAUUCUCAGUUCUUUUCUUGUUUUCUUUUUUUUGGGGGGAAGUAUUGUUCAUUGAACCUAGGGCCUGAGACAUGUUAGUCAACCCCCUAAUUACUGAUCUGCAUCUUAGCCUAAUAAAAAAAUUAGCCUAAUAUUCUUUUUUUUUUUUCUUUUUCUGUCUUUUGAGACAGGUUUUCUCUGUGUCUAGCCCUGGAUGCCUAGCACUUGCUCUGUAGACCAGGCUGAUCUCGAAGUAUCCUUACUUUUAAUCACGUGGGGUACAUACACAUGUCACAUGGGCCAGAGAACCCCUCUGGUGGUCAGUUCUACCUUCUCAACCUUGACGUGAGUCCCAGGGAUUGAACUCCGGUCUUCAGGAUUGGUGGCAGGUGCCUUUUCCCCAUGAGCCACCAUCUUGCUGACCGAAGUUUUGGCUCUUUUGAGAUGGGAUCUCACUGUAUACAUGCCAGCUUGGGCUGGCAUAGAACUCAGGCUCUCCCUUUACCAACCUCAGCAAGCCUGCGCUGCCAUAUCCAGUUGUGCAUGCUGCUUUUUAUGUGUAGCCCUGGCUGUCCUAGAACUCUCUCUGUAGAGCAGGGUGGCCUUGAACUCAACAGAUCUCUGCCUGCCUCUCCCUCUUGAUUAAAGGCAUGUACUACCAUACCUGACUUUAAAAGAUUUAUUUUAAAUUAUGUGUUUAUACAUGUGUCUUUGUGUGUGCACAUGAGUGCAGUGACCACGGAGGCCGGAAGGGGGCGUCAGACCCCCUGGAACUGGAGUUUCAGGUGAUUGAGAGCUGCCCAGUGUGGGUGCUGGGAACCGGAAUUGAGUCUUCUGUGGAAGCAGCCAGUGCUCUUAGGCUGUGAGCCAUCUCUCCAGCCUCACCCAACUUCUUUCAUUUAUUAUUUAUCUAUUAUUUUAUUUUUGAGACAAGUUCUCCCAUUAAGCCUGUUCACCGGUUCAGCGGGGAGCUCUGAGGCUCCUCCUGUCUCUGCCUUCCUUUGUGCGUUUUGCAGGCAGGGUGCAGGGACCAGAACUCAGACCCUGCUGCUUGUCUAGCAUGGUUUUGUUUUGUUUGUUUGUUUGUUUAGGGUUUUUUUUGAGACAGGGUUUCUCUGUAUAGUCCUGGCUGUCCUGGUACUCUCUUUGUAGACCAGGCUGGCCUCGAACUCAGAAAUCCGCCUGCCUCUGCCUCUCAAGUGCUGGGAUUAAAGGCGUGUGCCACCACUGCAUGGCUGGCAUGGUUUUAUGAACUGGGUUAUCUCCUGGCCCUGUUGAUGCUGUGUUUUAUUGAACAUGUACUGUGUGUAUGCCCAUGAACUAAAUAACCAUAAUGUUCAUACCUUUCUGGUAGGAAUAACUUCCCCAUCUGUAGCCAGGACACCGCUUCUCCAAUCAUAAUUAUAAUAAGCAAUCUGGUUUGUAUUUAGUUUUGUUUUUUGAGACAGCAUCUCACUACUUAGACGAGGCUGGCCUCAAACCCGAAGAGAUCCUGCUGCCUCUGCCUCCUGAGCAUUGGGAUUAAAGGUUUAAGACACCACACCUGCCCAUAAAAGUUUUAAACACCUCUGUGUGAUGGAGAAAGGACCAAGCCCAAGGCCAGAGAGGUUAAAGGUUUCUCUCCAGGCCACACAGCUGACAGGAGAUCUGUAGGGGCGGGACUGGGGAUGAACUCAAGGCGCUGUGCAUACUGGGAAACUGCUCUGCUACUGUUAAGGAGAGCUAGCCCAGCCCUUGCCUGUUGUCCUACCCUGGGUUGGGGAGACCAAAAUGUCCUUCUGAGUGCUGACCCCAGCCGCUUGGCACAUGAGCACUGUCAGCUGGGAAAAGGACCAGACCUAGUCUCAGGGAAUCCCUGGGCACUGGGCGGCCCACCCUUCCCCCAAAGCAUCUAGGGCCAUGAGGAGGGUGGGCGGGCUUCCCAGAGGGUGUGAGUUUUGAAGAUUGAACAGGAGUUCUCCAAGCACAAAUUGACAGCUUUUGCUGGAGACCCCAUUAGAGGUUAAGGCUGUCAGACCGACGGCCUCAUUCUCCAGCCGAGAAUGAAGCUUAGGGCUGUGGAGGAGGCUGAGUGGACAGUUCUAAUCCUUUCCCUCUUUCUUGCAGACUCCGUUGGGUACCCCAAAAGGUAAGCUUCCAGCCAGGACAUGCGGCCUCUGGUGCCCUCUGGUGGUGAGAUGUGGGAUGGUGGGUGAGGGUGAAGAACUCUCAAUCAGCACACUUUAUGGAUCAGGCUGCGGUGGAGGAGACCAGAGGAGUGCCCUGGCCACAUCCACUCUCUGUGUCAUAGUCCCCAGCCGGCUGGCCUCUGGCCUAACAUCUGUAAACUGUCACCGCUGUCAUCCCGGUGCUGAGUGGGCCACGGUGGGAGGAACCUGGGCUUCACUGACAGACCAGCUCAGCCUAAUCAGUAAACUUCAGGCUCCACGAGAAACAGGCAGGAUUGGGAGGUUGCUCAAUGGUCAAGCUGCGCCUCCAGGGACCUGAGUACAGUUCCCAGCACCCAUGUCAGGCAGCUCCAGGGGACCCGAUUCCAUGAGCAUCUGCAUACUCAUGUACACACCUACGCACCUAAGAUAUAAUACACUUAGGAAAUACCCUGCCUGAGAGGUAGAAAGCAAUUGACAAAGACACAGACUGUCAACUUUGGGCUUCUGUGUGCACACGCACAUUUGUAUACACGUCCUCAUGAAUAAGUACACAUACCACACACACAUUUUUUUUUUAAAGAUUUAUUUAUUAUAUGUAAGUACACUGUAGCUAUCCUCAGAUACUCCAGAAGAGAGCAUCAGAUUUCAUUACGGAUGGUUGUGAGCCACCAUGUGGUUGCUGGGAUUUGAACUUAGGACCUUUGGAAGAGCAGUCGGAGCUCUUAACAACUGAGCCAUCUCGCCAGCCCCACACACACAUUUUUAAAAAAGAGAGAUGGCCAGGCGGUGGUGGCACACACCUAAUCCCAGCACUUGGAGGUAGAGGCAGGUGGAUCUCUGAUUUCAAGACCAGCCUGGUCUACAUAACGAGUUCUAGGACAGCCAGGGCUACACAGAGGG
rnacentral:lncRNA from 1 species